UGGACAUGCCGAGAGAUGAGGUCGGAUUGGUCCGCCAUGUAGCUUGCUUCUGUCUAUAACAUGAGCUGGUCAGUAUGUGCAGGUAAUCCUUUCCUUUUUUUGCUUUUUUGAAAGACAUCACGUAGUAGAACUGCAUAAGUGUUGCUCUCCACUUUCUGGAGGACCGAGUUUUGAAAUCAGUGGAAUUAGAGUAUAAUAGCUAAGGAGAUGGAGAAAAUUCUGGUGUUUGAUUGCAAAUAUGCAGAGCAAUUUGCAUUGCUAGUUAUAGUCUAAUGUUAGCUAGCUAACAUUGAACCUGGUUGGUUAGCUACCUGCAGAUUCAUGCAGGGUAGUAACGUUAUGAGUUGGGAUUAUGGUUCAUUGUUUAGCUAGUUAGCUAGCUACAUGUCUAAACAAAAGACUCCACUCUGCAAGUAAACAUUUCAAUAGAAUAUUCAUGAUGUCACUGCAACAAAUGUCGACAGACGUAGCUGGUAAAUUUGCUCAAUCUACUCCGAUUUCAGAUUUGUGCCCGAGCGCAGAAUAACUGACACAUUUACAACGCUCAACAACCAUUGAAAGUGGCCGGUGUCAGUAAACGUUGACAAAAAAAGCAUAAUUAAAUUGUUGCCAGCAGCCCAGUUGCAGUCACCAACGCUCUGGAUAACCUAAAAACAGCCUAACCAGCUCUGCUAGGGCAAGUAAAAUGGUCAGAGUGAGCUGUUCCCUCAUUUGUGUCUGGAAGUAGCUAGCAAGCUAGCCAACGUUAUCACUUAUGUUGAGUGCUUGAUUGCUGUUGUUAUGUCAGAACGCUCGGCUCAACCAGUUGUGGCUCUGAACUCUGGGAUCAACCCUACUCCUCGGCCAGUGUCCAGUUGUGGCUCUGAACUCUGGGAUCAACCCUACUCCUCGGCCAGUGUCCAGUGUGAGCUCUGAACUCUGGGAUCAACCCUACUCCACGGCCAGUGUCCAGUGUGAGCUCUGAACGCUCAGAGAGCGAAACAUUCUGAAUUUACAAAUGGACAAUCUGACAACGCUCUGAGUUUACGAACGCCCAGAGCACACUCUGGCACUCCAGAUUAAUGUUUACAAGCACACCCAUAGUAUAAACCAGCCUUUAGUCUUGAAAUCAUUGGUUGUUUAGUACAUGGCCUCACAGGUUAAUCCUUAAAGCUUUAGAGGGUGUUAACAAUGCUGAAUGGGUGUAGACAAAGAAGAGCUCUCCAGUGGGUACCAAAAACAUUCAAGGGCCAUUUUCUCAAAAGUGAGGUUACAAGUUUAUCAACAUUCAAAGCAGAAUUACUUUCCCA
ensembl:lncRNA